rfam:Bacillus coahuilensis p1.1.43 ABFP000028, whole genome shotgun sequence.
UGGGCAGUAUCCUAUGAACUGCACCUUGUAUUCUUAUAAAUUUUGUAUAUUCUGCCUUGAUCCAUACUAUGGACUGGGACAGAGGG